rnacentral:lncRNA from 1 species
UAAAAAAUUUGUAAGGGUUCCGCGGAACCCAGUGUCUCGCCUAUUUUUGCUGUAAAUCGCAGACUCAACAACAAUGAGGAAAAAAAUCAAUAAAAUAUUCCUCUUGUUACUAUUUUAUGAUUGUAAGAAAAUCUAAGUCCAUUUAAAAGUAAAUUACAGAAAAAACGGAGUAAUCUUUUUACAAACUUUACUUCUGGAUACAAUCUUAUGAUCAUAAAUAAGCUUCUGUCCAAGUUUGGUACAAAUCCAGGAUAGUUUAAGAAAGUUAUUAAAAUUUUAAAAACUUUAAACACAGAGUGAAUGUAAUGGUUCCCCGCAGAAAAUCUAAGUCCAUUUAAAAGUAAAAUAUGGAAAAAAUGGAUUUAUUUAUUUACAAAAUUUACUUCUGGAUACUAUCUUAUGAUCAUAAACAAGCUUCUGUCCAAGUUUGGUACAAACCCAGGAGAGUUUAAGAAAGUUAUUAAAAUUCUAAAAACUUUAACCACAGAGUGAAUGUAAUGUUUCCCCGCAGAAAAAACUAAGUCCAUUUAUAGUAAAAUACGGAAAAAAUGGAAUUUUAUUUUUACAAAAUUUACUUCUGGAUACUAUCUUAUGAUCAUAAACAAGCUUCUGUCAAAGUUUGGUAGAAAUCCAGUAUAGUUUAAGAAAGUUAUUAAAAUUUCAAAAACUUUAACCACAGAG